rnacentral:rRNA from 1 species
UACGUAGGGUCCGAGCGUUGUCCGGAAUUAUUGGGCGUAAAGGGCUCGUAGGCGGUUUGUCGCGUCGGGAGUGAAAACUCAGGGCUUAACUCUGAGCUUGCUUUCGAUACGGGCAGACUUGAGGCAUGCAGGGGAGAACGGAAUUCCUGGUGUAGCGGUGAAAUGCGCAGAUAUCAGGAGGAACACCGGUGGCGAAGGCGGUUCUCUGGGCAUGUUCUGACGCUGAGGAGCGAAAGUGUGGGGAGCGAACAGG